AUGGACAGCUUGGCUGGUGGCACUGCCACUGUCCCCAGUAAGGCCAGCCCAUCCAGUGGCAGUGCCAGCCCUGGGGACAGGCCUGUCACCAGGAGUGCCACCAUUCCCACCAGGGACAGCCCAGCUGGUGGCAGUGCCACCGUCCCUGUCAGGGACAAGCCCAUCAGUGGCAGUGCCACCAUCCCAGUCAGGGACAAGCCCAUCAGUGGCAGUGCCACCCCUGGGGACAGGUCGGUCACCAGGAGUGCCACUGUCCCCACUGUCCCUGCCAAGGCCAGCCCAUCCAGUGGCAGUGCCACCCCUGGGGACAGGCCAGGCAGGGGCAGUGCCACUGUCCCCAGUAAGGACAUUUCAUCCAGGGACAGUGGCACCCCUGGGGACAGGCCUGUCACCAGGAGUGCCACCAUCCCCACCAGGGACAGCCCGGUCAGUGGUGCCACUGUCCCCAGUAAGGCCAGUGCCACCUCUGGGGACAGGCCGGGCAGGGCCAGUGUCACCAUCCCUGGCAGGGACAGGUUAGUGAGAGACAGUGCCACCCCUGGGGACAGGACAGUCAGAGACAGUGCCACCAUCCCUGGCAGGGACAGGUCACCCAGAGAUAGUGCCACCCCUGGGGACAGGCAGGGCAGGGCCAGUGUCACCUCUGGGGACAGGUUAGUGAGAGACAGUGGCACCCCUGGGGACAGGCAGGGCAGGGCCAGUGUCACCAUCCCUGUCAGGGACAGCGCAGCCAGGGCCACUGCUGUUGGGGACAGGCCAGUCAGGAGCAGUGCCACCAUUGGGGACAGGCCAGGCAGGGACAGUGCCACCACUGGGGACAGGAGCAGUGGCAGUGCCACCCCUGGGGACAGGCCAGGCAGUGCCACCGUCCCCAUCAGGGACAGGUCACCCAGAGACAGUGGCACUGGGGACAGGAGCAGUGCCACCCCUGGGGACAGGUCAGGCAGUGCCACCAUCUCCAUCAGGGACAGGUCACCCAGAGUCAGUGGCACCUUUGGGGACAGGAGCAGUGCCACCCCUGGGGACAGACCAGGCAGUGCCACCAUCUCCAUCAGGGACAGGUCACCCAGAGACAGUGGCACCUUUGGGGACAGGAGCAGUGCCACCCCUGGGGACAGGCCAGGCAGUGCCACCAUCUCCAUCAGGGACAGGUCACCCAGAGACAGUGGCACUGGGGACAGGCCAGGCAGGGACAGGCCGCCCAGGCCCAGUGACAGUGGGGACAGGAGCAGUGACACCACUGGGGACAGGCCGGGCAGUGCCACCGUCUCCAGCAGGGACAGGCCACACAGGCCCGGUGGCACUGGGGACAGGAGCAGUAGCAGUGCCACCCUGCCCGUCAGGGACAGAUCACACAGGGCCAGUGGCACUGGGGACAGGAGCAGUGGCAUUGGGGACAGGAGCAGUGGCAGUGCCACCAUCCCUGUCAGGGACAGGUCACCCAGAGACAGUGGCACAGGGGACAGGCCAGGCAGGGACAGAUCGCACAGGGCCAUCGCCACCAUGCCCAGCAGGGACAGGCCACACAGGCCCAGCGACAGUGGGGACAGACUGGGCAGUGCCACCACAGGGGACAGGCCUGGCAGUGCCACCAUGCCCAGCAGGGACAGGCCACACAGGCCCAGUGACAGUGGGGACAGGCCUGGCAGUGCCACCACAGGGGACAGGCCUGGCAGUGCCACCAUGCCCAGCAGGGACAGGCCACACAGGCCCAGCGACAGUGGGGACAGACUGGGCAGUGCCACCACAGGGGACAGGCCUGGCAGUGCCACCGUGCCCAGCAGGGACAGGCCGCACAGGCCCAGUGACUUUGGGGACAGGAGCAGUGACACCACAGGGGACAGGCCUGGCAGUGCCACCACAAGGGACAGGCCUGGCAGUGCCACCGUCCCUGUCAGGGACAGAUCACACAGGCCCAGUGACAGUGGGGACAGACUGGGCAGUGCCACCGUCCCUGUCAGGGACAGGCCACACAGGCCCAGUGACAGUGGGGACAGACUGGGCAGUGCCACUGUCCCCGUCAGGGACAGGUCACACAGGGGCAGUGGCUCUGAGGACAGGAGCAGUGGCAGUGCCACCCUGCCCAGCAGGGACAGGCCACUCAGAGACAGUGACAGUGGGGACAGGAGCAGUGGCAGUGCCACCGUGCCCAGCAGGGACAGGCCGCACAGGCCCAGUGACUUUGGUGACAGGAGCAGUGGCAGUGCCACUGUCCCUGUCAGGGACAGAUCACACAGGGGCAGUGACAGUGGGGACAGGAGCAGUGGCACUGUCCCUGUCAGGGACAGCCCAGCUGGGGGCAGUGGCACUGUCAGGGCCAUGCCAGUCUCUGCCAGUGUCACUGUCCUUGUUGGGGACAGGCCAGUCAGUAGGAGUGGCACCGUUGGGGACAGGCUGGUCACAGACAGUGACACCGUUGGGGACAGGCUGGUCACAGACAGUGACACUGUUGGGGACAGGCCAGUCAGUAGUAGUGGCACCAUUGGGGACAGGCUGGUCACUCUGAGUGACACCGUUGGGGACAGGCUGGUCACUGACAGUGACACUGUUGGGGACAGGCUGGUCACUGACAGUGGCACCCCUCCGGCCAGGGACCGUCCCUCCAGGGACAGUGGCACUCCAGGGGACAGGCCAUUUGCUGGCAGUGCCACUGUCCCCGUCAGGGACAGCCUAUCCAGGGGCACUGCCACCAUCGUGGACACGCCUGUCACCGCCAGUGCCGCCAUCCCCAUCAGGGACAGCCCGUUCUGGGCCGGUGACACCGCUGGGGACAGCUCGGCAGCUGGCAGUGCCACCGUCCCCAUCAGGGACUGCCCGUCCAGGGGCACUGCCACCAUCGUGGAUGCGCUGGUCACUCUCAGUGGCACCGUGAUGGACAGGAGGAUCCUGGGCAGUGUCACCGUCCCCGUCAGGGCCAGCCUGUCCAGGGGCACUGCCACCAUCGUGGACACGCCCGUCUUUGUCAGUGCCACCGUCCUGGUCGGGGACUCCAUCCCCAGGGUCACCGCCACCAUCGUGGAAUCCAGGCUGCCCGGCCCUGCCACCCUCGGGGACACGCUGGCCUGUGGCAGUGCCACCAUCCCCGGCAGGGACGGUGCCACUGUCACCUUCCCGGGCUGGCCGGGCAGGGACGGUGUCACCGUCCCUCGUGGGGAUUGGUCUGGUGGGGACAGUGCCACCAUUCCUCGUGGGGACUGGUCUGGCAGGAACAGUGCCACUGUCCCCAUCAGGGUGUGCCCAUCCAGGGACAGUGCCACCACCUCUGACAGGGACGGUGUCACUGUCCCCCGUGGGGACUGGUCUGGUGGGAACAGUGCCACCAUUCCUCGUGGGGACUGGUCUGGCAGGGACAGAGCCACCAUCUGUGACAGGGACUGGCCAGCAAGGGACAGUGACACCACCUCUGACAGGGACUGGCCAGGCAGGGACAGUGCCACUGUCCCCAUCCGGGAGUGCCCAUCCAGGGACGGUGUCACUGUCCCUCGUGGGGACUGGCCAGGCAGGGACAGUGCCACUGUCCCCAUCAGGGAGUGUCCAUCCAGGGACAGAGCCACCACCUCUGAGAGGGAGUGCCCAUCCAGGGACGGUGUCACUGUCCCUCGAGGGGAUUGGUCUGGAGGGGACAGUGCCACCGUCCCUCGUGGGGACUGGUCUGGCAGGGACAGAGCCACCACCUCUGUCAGGGAGUGCCCAUCCAGGGACAGUGCCACCAUCUGUGACAGGGACUGGCCAGGCAGGGACAGUGCCACUGUCCCCAUCCGGGAGUGCCCAUCCAGGGACGGUGUCACCCUUGGGGACAGACACGUCACUGGCAGUCCCCCCGUCACGGACACACCCAUCAGUGGCAGCGCCACCAUCCCUGACAGGGACUGUCCUUCCCGGGGCGGUGCCACCACGGGGGACAGGCCGGGCAGUGCCACCCUUGGGGACAAGCCAAGUGCCACCGCGCCCUCCAGGCCCAUCGCGCCCGCCCGCGUCAGCGUCAUCAGGGAUGGCAGGACGGGGACCAGGGUGGCACUGCGGGGUCACAGCCAGGCCGGGUCACCCCUGGGGGACACGCAGGGACACACGAGGGCGGGCACAGCCGUGGGGUCCCCUGCGUCACACCAAUAAAAACCAGUAAAAAC
rnacentral:lncRNA from 1 species